UGGGGAAUAUUGCACAAUGGGGGAAACCCUGAUGCAGCGACGCCGCGUGAGCGAUGAAGGCUUUCGAGUCGUAAAGCUCUGUCCUAUGGGAAGAUAAUGACGGUAACCGGAGAAGAAGCCCCGGCUAACUUCGUGCCAGCAGCCGCGGUAAUACGAAGGGGGCUAGCGUUGUUCGGAUUUACUGGGCGUAAAGCGCACGUAGGCGGACUUUUAAGUCAGGGGUGAAAUCCCGGGGCUCAACCCCGGAACUGCCUUUGAUACUGGAAGUCUUGAGUAUGGUAGAGGUGAGUGGAAUUCCGAGUGUAGAGGUGAAAUUCGUAGAUAUUCGGAGGAACACCAGUGGCGAAGGCGGCUCACUGGACCAUUACUGACGCUGAGGUGCGAAAGCGUGGGGAGCAAACAGG
rnacentral:rRNA from 1 species